AGAAGCAACAGCUGCUAAAAUUCCCUCUUUUACACAAACAUUACAGGGCUAGGAAUACUCUCCAGUUUUCACUCUGGCAACCAUAGGUGCAGGUAGGGGGCAGAAGGUGGUAUUCCUUCUUCUCCAUGAUUAAUCACCUCUUGUUGCUGCAUCAAACCAGGAAACUUAGAAGGCAAGUGCUUCUGGAAGAGUGCUUACCAGACAGCUCACUCCCUGCUGAAACCACCAGAGGAGUGACUAUGCCAUCAAAAUGACUGGAGACACUCCUCUAAAACCUGGGGUGUAGGCCGAGCUCUUGUUGUGGCAAAGAAGAAAGAAAACAGUCACUUAAAGGCAGUGGGUGGGAGGGGGAAGAGAGAGAAAAUAACACAGCAGG
rnacentral:lncRNA from 11 species